ensembl:snoRNA SNORD34 Small nucleolar RNA SNORD34
CUGUGUCAAUGAUGCACUUUUACCUACAUUGUUCGAUGAUCCUUGAGAGAAACUUUGAUACUGAGACACUG